rnacentral:lncRNA from 1 species
UCUCUUGAAAUAUCCAAGAGAUUCAAAGAAUAUUUUUAGAUUAACCAUCUAGAGAGAUCUACAAGAAGCUAGCACUUCGAGUGGAUCUUCGUUCGACGAACCUCUGAUUUUGUUACAGCCUCAUGUGGAUCACCUGUAGAGGUCGGAUGCAUGUGCGGCUCUAAAGGUAAUAAAAAAAAUCAACCACAGAGUUCUCGACCCGCACCA